rnacentral:rRNA from 1 species
UCUCGGCAACGGAUAUCUCGGCUCUCGCAUCGAUGAAGAACGUAGCGAAAUGCGAUACCUGGUGUGAAUUGCAGAAUCCCGUGAACCGUCGAGUCUUUGAACGCAAGUUGCGCCCGAGGCCAUCCGGCUAAGGGCACGCCUGCCUGGGCGUCACG